CAGGCGCCUUGCUAGGCCAGCCUCAGGGUGCUGUCCCCAGCCUGCCGGGAAGCUGGUCGCCUCCACCCGCCGUGACGCAGCCAGCGCGAUGAAGGCCAAGAACGUGAACUUGCUCUUCGCCUUCGUUGCGGUCCUGCUCUUUUGCUUUUCCUGUUUCUGCAUCUCCAAGAUGAACCAAACCAGCCAUGAACUGAUUAAUUGCAGAAACCACAUUUUGGGGCUUAAGGAAAACAUGCUACAUUUAAAAAACAAAAGUGUAGAUAAUCACCAAAAUCUAGUGCAAGUCUUGAAUCAAAUGAAGCAUGAGAUUACCCAGACAGCAAACGCGUCAGGAAACGUAGUUGAGAGGAAAGUGAGCACAUUGAGUGGAAAUGAAAUGCUUCCUAACGGGUUUGAAGACAUAAAGUUCUUCCUUCCUCAUCUAAGGAAAAUGGGGAAAAUUUACCCGGAUGUAGCCACUGGCAGAGGGAAAGCAGGCGUGUCUUUCGCACUGGGAGUCACCACCAUUGGCAGAAGGAAGCAUACCUACCUGAAACAAAUGCUGACGUCCAUUCUGUCCAGGAUGACGCCUGAAGAAGAGAAGGACUCCGUGGUGAUUGUCUCUGUCGCCGACACUGAUGAUUAUUUAAAUUAUGUUGUUGACAUGGUUAAAACAAAAUUCAAAAGACAAGUGCAAUCUGGGUCCUUGGAAGUCAUUUCAAUCCCCACCUUUUUUUAUCCAAGUAUAUUACUUGGCAAGAAAACAACGGAGGACUCAGACAGUUGGAAAAUGAAACAAGUAUUGGAUUUUUGUAUUUUGAUGCUGUAUGCCCAACCCAAGGCCACAUAUUAUUUACAGCUUGAAGAUGACAUCAUAGCAAAACAGAUGUAUUUUACAAAAAUGAAAGAUUUUGUAAAUAGUCUCCCUUCAAAAAAUUGGCUUUUUAUUGAAUUUUCAGAACUUGGAUUUAUAGGAAAACUCUUUCAGUCGAAGGACCUGCAUGACUUUGUACAUUUUUUCUUGAUGUUCUACAAAGUGAAGCCCAUAGAUAUACUUUUAAAUGACAUUUUCCUGGUGAAGAUGUGCAACCUGGGAGAGCAUAUUAGGCACUGUAUGCACCGAAAGAAGGAAGUCCGAGUUCAGUACAGACCGUCUCUGUUCCAGCACGUGGGCAUCCAGUCAUCAUUUCCUGGGCGAGAACAGUACCGCAAGGUUUCCCCACCAGCCGCCAGGGCUGGUGACCGAAGCUUCACACUGAUGAGUCUUUUGAAAUCCCUGGUAGUGGGUUUCUCCAUCGAUGCAAUAAGCCAAAUCAAGGCCAAAGGAUUUGAUCUGAGCAAAGCAAUUCCCGGAGAAAGGAAGCAGGAGAGAAACUUCUCUAGGAGUCUAGGGGCAGGGUCUUAAAUACCCUGCAGGCUGGGUCUUGAGGAGCUCCAGGAUAUUUAUUACUAGGAUUUUCCUAAAUCUCAAACAGUUUCUUUAAACAUUAUCAGACUCAUUUUUUGGGAAAAGGCACAGCAAGCAUCAGAUUUUCUCAGAUCAUACUGGAUGAGAGGCUACGUCAUAUUGUUUAAAAUUAAUCCUUCAGUAAUAAGGGCACAGAAGCCAGUCAAAGAUGGUGCCGAGGGGAAGUCAGAUGGGAGAGUCCUGAGUUGUUUACUAAAAAAGAUGAUUGGUUGCCUGAAUCAAACAAGAUGAGGUCACUGCUUGAACAGCUCAUGUUCACUAGGUAAAGCCUAGGGAGCCUAGGCUCCUGAUAGGCUGACCUUUAAAAUCAUUGGCUGGCUGUUUCACGCUCUGGGGUUUUUUUGCUUUAAAAGAUGCUUGCUGUGGGUCAAUAAAUUAGUUCCUGCUUGACUAGACUCCCUGCUGCGUCUGAUUAUCUCCGGGAUCCUGGGAGGCUGGGUAAUGAGCGAGCAGCACACUUACCCUUCCUCUGACCCAGCUCAACCUUCCAUGGCUGGGCUAAGACCCUGCAUGUGGCACCCGAACCUGGAACAUGAAGGACCUAAACCUCGGCCGAGGCCAAGUGGUCUCUCAGGGUAGGUGAGAUCCUUAGUAUGGGUAACUCUAGUUUCAGUAAGAAGGGAGAAGGAGAGGGACCAGAGAAGUUCCCCAAAGAUGAGGCAGAGGAGGAAUGGGCCCAACCAUCAGCCCCUGGUAACUCCAGAUGCUCACUUUAUUCUCCCAGGAGCUAGGAGGUUGGUCCCCCCCUACACCGCCCUCAGGGAACCCUAUGAUUGACCAGACAAUGGUCGGGUGAGACCUGGAGACCCAGUUUAUGAAGAGGCCUACCCAAUCAAGGAGGAACGGGAGGAUGCAGUAGGUCCGCACAAGCCUACCCAGUAAACUUGGCCCUGGGCCAGGCAGGCCUCUAGACUGGCAUCCUGGGAGGCCAAGGAUCUUAAAGAGCUCCACAAGGCUGUGGCAGAAGAUGGUCCUAAUUUCCUUCCUGUUGCAGGACCUCUCCUACUAUCGUGAGUCCCCAAAGACUGGCUGGAUGUGGCUGAUGCAGCCCUCUCUAGUUCUCAGUUUAUUAAACUGUGGGUAUGGGCUAAGGCAAAUAGGCAAGCUAACCCCCCAUCCCUAUUACCUGUGCUAUGCUGUCGGGAAUGGGGUUCAGCAAGCAGGGAUCCCUCGGCUGAAUCAAGAUCAGGUAACACAGACUGGGUUGAACACCUGGGCUAAACUGGAUGAUGGGUCUACUGAGUCCCCCCACAGCUGGAGUGAGGCAGAAGCCCGGAGAGCCUUUGCCAGAGUUUAUAGACCAGGUCCAACCGAGCGUUUGCGAAAGCUGCUGCCCAGAGACCUGAGUACAAUUUAUCAAACUGCUGGUAUGGGAAGGGAUGAAUGGGGGCCAUAGAAUGCUCUGCGUGGGAUUAAAAGACAGUUCUCUGAGCAGAUGGGUGGUAGCCUCCCAAGAUGUAGGUACCCAACACCAAUCCCAGUCUCUGGCCCUGGCCUUACAGGCACAGAUGACUGCCAUCACAGAGGUCAUCACCCAGGCUCUGGCAAACCCCAGGGUCAAGGGUCCUUGAGGCUGCUGGAGAGGAAACGGCAAUGGUGGUCAAGGCUCGUCUUCCGAAAUAACAGGGCCAAUGCAAUGAUACCUAACCAUGUCCAAGGGCUCUGGACCCUUGAGAAGCAUUUAUGUUCUUUAAA